rnacentral:rRNA from 1 species
GAACGGGUGCGUAUCACGUGAGCAACCUGCCUCGGAGACCGGGAUAACUCGAGGAAACUCGGGCUAAUACCGGAUGCCCUCGGUGGACCGCAUGGUCCGGCGAGGAAAUGGAUUCCGCUCCGAGAUGGGCUCGCGGCCUAUCAGCUUGUUGGUGGGGUAACGGCCUACCAAGGCAACGACGGGUAGCUGGUCUGAGAGGACGAUCAGCCACACUGGGACUGAGACACGGCCCAGACUCCUACGGGAGGCAGCAGUAGGGAAUCUUGCGCAAUGGGCGAAAGCCUGACGCAGCGACGCCGCGUGCGGGAUGAAGGCCUUCGGGUCGUAAACCGCUUUCAGCAGGGACGAAAUUGACGGUACCUGCAGAAGAAGGCCCGGCCAAGUACGUGCCAGCAGCCGCGGUCAUACGAAUCACUAG